rnacentral:rRNA from 1 species
CUACGGGAGGCAGCAGUGAGGAAUAUUGCACAAUGGGGGGAACCCUGAUGCAGCAACGCCGCGUGGAGGAUGACGCAUUUCGGUGUGUAAACUCCGUUUAUAUGUCAAGAAAAUGACGGUAGCAUAUGAAUAAGCACCGGCUAACUCCGUGCCAGCAGCCGCGGUAAUACGGAGGGUGCAAGCGGUACUCGGAAUCACUGGGCGUAGAGGACGCGUAGGCGGGUUGGAAAGUCAGGUGUGAAAUCCUACAGCUUAACUGUAGAACUGCACUUGAAACUUCUAAUCUAGAGUAUGGGAGGGGGAGAUGGAAUUAGUGGUGUAGGGGUAAAAUCCGUAGAUAUCACUAGGAAUACCUAAAGCGAAGGCGAUCUCCUGGAACAUUACUGACGCUAAGGCGUGAAAGCGUGGGGAGCAAACAGGAUUAGAUACCCCGGUAGUC